rnacentral:lncRNA from 1 species
UUUUGACGUUUAUGUUUGAUUAUGUUUGAUCUUGAUAAGUAUACUUGAAUCUUGAUUUUCGUUUUAAGAAUGUUUUUGCAGGAAUAAUUCAAGACUUCAAGACUCCAUGUCUAAGUCAUAGAGUCUGUAUUAAGGUUAUGAAAAUUGUAACUUUCGUUUAUUGGAUCGAUCAUGCAGGAGAUUAUCGUUUGGUGAUUGCGAUGAUCUUCUUUUUAUUGUUUCUGAGUUGUAUACGAGCAUUAUAGUAUAUUUUGUCACGAAAUCGCCAAAGGGGGAGAUUGUUAAGGAUUUUAUAGGUUGGCGAAUUUCGUAAUGUUGAAUGGAGUCUUGAAGAGUUGAUCGCGGAAGUUUUUGAAGAAAAGAUUCAAAUUGAAGAACAAAUAU